AAUGGCCUUUUCUCAACAAGGCCCGCACACUACAUGCAUAAUUUCAGCAAACGACGCUCUGUGCACGGCGACACUGCGUCAACCAGCAACCUCUGGUGGGAUAGUGACAUAUGAGAUAUUGGAUGAUCAAGAUGUCUUCUUUGCCAAUUUGCUAGGUGGCUGUCUUGGUUGCAUUGUCAAAUCUGCAACUCGAGCUAAGGGAGAUAUGGGGCUGCAGCGACAAAGGUAAAGCUGUUGCCUGUGCUUUGUCCAAUGUUACUCCUUUUAGUAAAUGUUUAGCUAGUACUCUCAGUUUUGUGGUUGUGCACAGAGUUUGUUAUGUUGAUGCCAAAUAUUUGGAGAAGAUUUGGGUAGAUGGGUGCCAAAAGUCUACGCGUCUUGUGUACUUUGUUGUUAUGUUGAUGCAACACUAGGAUAUAUUUGUAUUUAGUGGAUUCAUGUUGGACUACUAAUAAUAUAUAUAAUCGUGUGUAUUAGGUCA